rnacentral:snRNA from 1 species
UUGUUAUCAAGCAUCUGCUUG